rnacentral:rRNA from 1 species
AACGAACGCUGGCGGCAUGCCUAACACAUGCAAGUCGAACGAGACCUUCGGGUCUAGUGGCGCACGGGUGCGUAACGCGUGGGAAUCUGCCCUUGGGUUCGGAAUAACAGUUGGAAACGACUGCUAAUACCGGAUGAUGACGUAAGUCCAAAGAUUUAUCGCCCAAGGAUGAGCCCGCGUAGGAUUAGCUAGUUGGUGAGGUAAAGGCUCACCAAGGCGACGAUCCUUAGCUGGUCUGAGAGGAUGAUCAGCAACACUGGGACUGAGACACGGCCCAGUCUACUACGGGAGGCAGGAGUGGAGAAUAUUAGGAAAUGAGCGACAGCAUGAUCCAGCAAUGCCGCGUAAGUGAUGAAGGCCUUAGGGUUGUAAAGCUCUUUUACCCGGGAUGAUAAUGACAGUACCGGGAGAAUAGGCUACGACUAACUCCGUG